GUUUAAUGUUAUUUAGGACAAUUGGGCAGUACUGGAAGGCAAAAGAGAUAAGUACAUUUUGUAACAUCUAUUUGCACUGACAAACAUACAGCGAGGGAACUCAACAAUUACAAGGAGGAGAGCUGGUGCUAUACUUCUCUAGCGUUUUGAAAUCUGGUGGAAGAAUAAAAUAAAAACAGUAUUAAGGAGCCUGUGGACGUAUGAAAUUGGAUUUGGAGUAGAAGGUUUCGUUCAUAUUACUUUCCAAGAUAGUCCUUGUAGAUCACUGA
rnacentral:lncRNA from 1 species